CCCGCUCCAGUAUUCUUGCCUGGAGAAUCCCCGUGGACAGAGGAGCCUGGCGGGCUGCGAUCCACGGUGGCAAACAGCCGGACACGGCCGAGCACCGAACACACACACAGGCAAGAGGGAAGGGACGCAGAGGUUGGUAGAGAGCCAGGAUAGAUGGGAGAGCUGUGUGGACAGGAAGGGCCGGUAGGUGCCUUUACCUGUGGGAACCAUGGGUCUGUCCCAUGGGUCUGGGGUUAAUGCACCUUUGGGGACAUCGGGGAAAGAAUUCCAAGCUAACUGUGGGAACAGAAGCCUGCUUGCAGUGGACAGAGUUGGGGAUGAGGAAAGGGAGGGAACAUUCUUGGGGCCACUCUUUGCAGAAGUAGUUGAAUCGUGUAGACUCUCUGUCCUGUGGUUCAGGGAAACGGCACGUGGCAUUACAGAAUGCUGCACUGUUGUGUCAUUGAACUUGGGUAUGGAACCUUCUAGAUGCACAAGUGCAGAGGCAAGAUGGGAGCAGUAAGGCAGGUCAGGCUGGGCGAGACUUGGAUGGCACCCAAAUGAAGUGGUUACUGCAGCCAGAGUGUGAUUUGGGCUCAAAUUUAAGUAAUUAAAGUGUAUCUCAUCCAGCUCCAAAGGAUAAAGCCUUCUUUUUUCGUAAAUCAGACUAGUUUGGGACUCAGUGAGAAUGCAGUCAAAGGAGGAAAUUAGUUGAGUUUGGGUCUGUUUUAUUAUAUUUAUAAUUUUAAAAAAUAGUUCCUACUUUCUUAUUCAUUGUGUGCUUCUCCUGUGUAUCUUUUUUUUUUUUUUUUAAGGUGAGGACAGCAGUUCUGAGAGCGGUUCUGAAUCUGAUAAUGAGGAGGCAAAACCAGAAAAAACAAAUGGGGAGCUAGGAGAGUCUUCCGCCGAGGAAGCGUCUGCUCAGGUUGAAGAAUGGGAGGUUAAAGAAUUGCCCGCACAGCAUUUUAAUUCAGAAUCUAAUAAAAUCCAGUCUCACUGUGAACACUGUAAUGCUGAAAAUAAACACAAUGAACUGGUGACUCCCAGGCUUCUUUCCCGAGGACAGUUUUUGUGAGUCAUUGGGAA